CUCAUGCUCUAGAAACGAGAUGUUGACAUGAUGUGUAAAUUACAGCUUCCUCCCAUGAAAACGUUAAAAAAAUUGGAGUACAUUGUUAUGAUGACCAGACUCGAAGGCAUUCAUGUAAUUGGGUGAAUCAAAGAGUCUCAGGAAUCUUCUGGACUAACCAAAAGUGAUGGCUGAAACAAAUAUUAACUGGUAGUCUACUUAGUGAUCUGGACACUGGAUAAGGCAGAAACCAUUUUCAACAGAACUGUUAAGAGUGUAAAUAAAAAAAAAACAAGAUACCCACUCUCCAACUCAUUCAUAGCUUCAUUCUUGGCUUCAUUGUGUUGAAUAUGAGUCAAGACUUUUCUAUUGUACCAAGGCUGAAGGGACUUUCAAACCAUAAACAACACCACCACAGAGCAGUUGACUUUCAUUUCUUCUUCUGAAUUUGUAUGUUAUACCCUUAAUUAUUACAGUGUGAAUUUACUUUGCACAGAAGAAGAUGUAAAUUAGCAUAACUUCAACAAGUAUUUACUUUGUCGGUUUCAGACACAUAACUCAAUUAUUUGGUAUUUUAAAAAAAAAUAAUUGGCAGCAUUUACUGUGGAAUCAUCAUUGUUCUUGGGGGAGGAUAGGUGGGUCAAACAUAUCCACUAAUUUAUAUUCCCACAAAUACUUAUUUUUUCAACUUGUCAAUUCAUUGAAUCUUUAACAUGUUUAACUAUGUAUUUUAAAGUUAACCUUAUGAAUUAUGUCAGACUCUGCACAAACCAGUUGAAUUAAUGCCUGCCCACUAACAGCUGAUUAAUGCCCCCCCCCCCCC